rnacentral:rRNA from 1 species
AACGAACGCUGGCGGCAUGCCUAACACAUGCAAGUCGAACGAAGGCUUCGGCCUUAGUGGCGCACGGGUGCGUAACGCGUGGGAAUCUGCCCUUUGCUUCGGAAUAACAGUUAGAAAUGACUGCUAAUACCGGAUGAUGUCGCAAGACCAAAGAUUUAUCGGCAAAGGAUGAGCCCGCGUAGGAUUAGCUAGUUGGUGGGGUAAAGGCCUACCAAGGCGACGAUCCUUAGCUGGUCUGAGAGGAUGAUCAGUCACACUGGGACUGAGACACGGCCCAGACUCCUACGGGAGGCAGCAGUGGGGAAUAUUGGACAAUGGGCGAAAGCCUGAUCCAGCAAUGCCGCGUGAGUGAUGAAGGCCUUAGGGUUGUAAAGCUCUUUUACCCGGGAUGAUAAUGACAGUACCGGGAGAAUAAGCUCCGGCUAACUCCGUG